rnacentral:tRNA from 13 species
UAUAGCUUAAGCUGGUCGAAUACCGUUCUGUAAAACCGCGCAGUGUAGGUUCGAAUCCUACCA